rnacentral:tRNA from 1 species
GCGACGGUGAUCCAGCGGCUAAGAUAGUGCCUUGCCAAGGCAUUUACCCGGGUUCGAAUCCCGGCCGUCGCA